rnacentral:rRNA from 1 species
UAAACUAGGAUUAGAUACCCUAUUAUUUUAAAUGUGAAUUUUUAAUUCUAAAUUAGUAUUAGUUAUGUUCUUGAAAAUUAAAAAAUUUGGCGGUAUUUUAGUCUUUUCAGAGGAACCUGCCCCGUAAUUGAUAGUCCACGAUUAAAUUUACUUUAUUUAUUAGUUUACAUAUCGUUGUAGUUUGAAUAUUUUAAUAGAAAUUUAAUGUUCAGAAUUUUUUAUCAAAAAAUAAAUCAGAUCAAGGUGUAGUUUAUAAUAAAGAAGAGGUGGGUUACAGUAAAUUUAUUUUAAGAUUAUUUUUUUUAAAAAAAUUUGAAUAUGGAUUUGAUAGUAAUUUUUAUUAUAUUUAUUUAAAAUGAUUAUAGCUCUAAAAUAUGCACACAUCGCCCGUCGCUCUUAA